rnacentral:lncRNA from 1 species
CUCCCUUCUCCUUGAAGUACUGUCUUCAGAUCCCUAUGCUUUCCUGGUUGUCCUCCUGUCUCCUGAAAGUUCUUUUGUUUUCCUAACUUCAACUAUCUGGUUUUCUCUUCACUCACUUCCUAGGGGAUCCCAUUCAGUCUCAUAACUUCAGGUACCAUUUAUAUGCUGACAACUCUCAAAUUAAUUCUGUAGCCUAGCUAUCUCCCUGAACUCCAGACUCAUACAACAGAGUGUCUGGUCAACCUCUUCUUUUGGAUGUUUCAUAGUUAUCUCAAGCAUGAGAUAUCCAAAAAUGAAAUGCCAGUUUGCCCUUCCAAAGCCUCCUCUUCAUAUAGUUUUUCUCCUCUUAGUGAAAAACCUUGAAAUAAUUCCUGAUUCAUCAAUUUCUCUCACUCCUCACUUCCAAUCUAUUAACAAAUCCUUCAACUCUAGCUGCAGAAUAGGUGCAAGUUUUGACCAUUCUGCAUCUUCCUCUACUACCAGCACUCUGGUUCUCAAGCUACCAUAACUCAGUUGGAUUAUAGCAACAGCCUUUAGAUUCAUCUUCCUACUUCUAUCAUCAUCUGUCUUACAGUCCAUCCUCCACAACACAGCCACAAUUAUCCUUUUAAAAUUAAAUCAGAUUAUCUCACUCCCCUGAUCAAAACCCUCAGUGCAUUUUCUGCUCACUCAGGGUAAAAGCCAAAGACCUUAUAAUGUUCUACAAGGUCUUACAUUAUCUAGCUCUCACUACAUCUCUCAUUUCAUCCAUUAUUCUCCCUCUUUUACAUUCUCUUCUUGCUACUCUAGUCUCGCUGCUUCUUGAGCAUGGUGAGUACACAAGGCCUUUAACCCUGUUAUUUUCCUGCCUGGACAGCUCCUCCAAGUUACCCUCUUGGCUCCCUCCCUCACUUCCUGAAUCUCUAGAUGUAACUUAUCAUUGACCCUAACCAGCUAUUCAUCUCAUUCUGCUUCAUUUAUAUCUUUUUAGACUUUAUCGCUUUCAGAUAUGCCAUUAUUUGUUUAUUUAAUAUCUUCACCACUACUACCACCACCAGCAGAAUGUAAGCUGCAUAAGAGCAGAGUCUUUGUAUACAGCACCUUGAACAGUUCCUCACACAAAGUAGGUACUCAAUAAGAAUUCUUGGAAAAUAUUUCUGAUACAAAAUAUAGUUAUACUAAUUAUCUUUAAAAAUGAAAACAGAUGUUUUGUUGUUCUUUUGAGUUAGGUUUUUAAUGGAAAGAGUUUUAAAUAGUUUCUUAAUUUUGAGCAUUUAAAACCUUUAAAAUUACAUUUAUUGAUAUUCAAGGAAACUUAUUUUGGUAUUACCCUCAACCCAAAUAGAACUAAAGAUAUUUACAUCUCAGAUUUUUAAAACAAUAUUUUUAUGAAACAAUUUCUGGCUCACAGAAAAAUUGUUAAGUAGUACAAAGAACUUCCAUGUAUCUUUCACUAGAUUCACAACCAUUUUUAUAUGAUACAAGACAAGUACAAUGUUUCCACAUUUGCUCUAUUGUCCUCUCUCAUGUUGUAGGGUCCCCAGUUCUCCCCCAACUGUCUUUCUGUAUUCUGACCAAAAAUCAUGAAGUGCCUUGACCACUCUGUGACCCAGCCAGCUGCAGGCCUUUCCCAGCAGGCUUGAACCAAAACUGGGGCCUAAACAUUCCCAGGUAUCUAAGACAUUGCCCAAAACACUGAAGCAAACUGUCCCUGCCCUGAGCCAAAUUCCUUAAAAUCUUAAACAAACUUCAUACCCUGACCCCCUCACUGGCGACACACUUAGCAAGAACACCUCUUUUCUCUGUCAUGAGGAUUGCUGCAGCACUCUGUAAGUAACUUCCCCUAAUAAAUGCUUUGGCCUGAUCACCCUGGCAUUUACUGCUUCUUUCUUUGGAAUCCGUACCAGCCCAAAACACACGCUUAUACAAGGGAGUACGUUGCAGACAUCAUGCCCUCUUAUUCCUGAAUAUUUCAAUGUAAUACUGAUUUCUUAAUGUCUACUAAUUUCAAAUGGGAAUAAGUAAUCUAAAAUACCAUUAGCUGACUAACAUAAAAUAUAAGCCCACAAUACAAUUCUUUCUGAUUGUGUUAAGAAUAAAAUAACACAUAUACUAAGUUCUCAGUUGCUUAAUAAGUAUGUUCUUUAUUCCGCUCAUAAAAGAGCAUAGAAACACCUAGUAGUAUAACUUGGUGAGCUUGGGCCAAAAAAUGACACGUCCUAUAGAAAAAGUAGCUUGAAUUGGAGCUACUGGUCUUGUUUAUUAGUAAUAUUUCUACUAGAAAAAUGAAUGCAAAUUGUAUGUUAUUGUCAUGCUGGACCCCUAUUAACCUCAGCAGGGAUGGCACCAGGUUUAAAAGGCCGAAGAAGAGACCCACAUACAGCAAAUAAGACAUGGGGUUUCAUUUGAGAGAACUCACAUACCAGGGCAGUCCAGUGGUAGCAGUCUGAACAGGAGAACCGGUCACUGCUUGCAAAAAAGCAUGCAGUUUAUACAGCACUUUCGGUUAGCAACCGCCCCCACCAGCCAGCAACUUCCACGUGGCAACACUUAUUUCUUCAGUUAAGUUAUUGCUUUCAGGUGUGUCUGUUACACAGGGUCAUUCUCAGGGUAUGCUUAAUUAAGAGAUUGCUGUCACGUAAGUCUACCAUACAGUGAUAGAGGCAAUAGAUUAUCACAAAGCUCUUAGGAAUAAAACAAACAAACAAGCCAAUGCAACAACAAAUCCUUAUAGCAAUUCCCAGGUAAAGAAGAGUAUGCAGAGUGAGGAGAAAGGGGGGUGAAAAAUGGAGGAAGAAUUUGAGCUGAACUGAUAAGGGUGGCUUGGGUUCCAAUGAAUAAGAAAAGGAGAGGAGGGGGCUAUCUUAAGAACCAGGCCGAGAGAAAGACCCAGAGACAAGAAUGUGAAAUGUGUGCUCAGGGAGCCACAAGGAGACUAGUAUGGUCAGAGUGGAAAUGUACAUGUAAGAGAACAGCACAGAGACUUCAGACAAAUGUGGUAGGGCCUGAUUGAAAAGGACCCUGAGUUUCAGCCUAUGGGUUUUGAACCCUUUGAAAGUGUUUAAACAGAGAAGUGAAAUGAAACUACUGAAGUUAUUUGAACAGAAAAGUAAAGAGCUCAAAGUGAGGCUCUAAGAAUAUUUUUAGAAAAUUAAGAAAUUGAAGAGGAACUGAAUUGAGCCACUGUGCCCAGCCUACACCUAGGAAACAUUUUUUUUAAAAUAAUUUAUGUUCCUUCCUCCAGAAAUUCUGAUUUAAGAGCUCUGGAAGAAUAUCACAAUGAUUCAGCUGUAUUGAGCCAUUGAGAAGAUAAACUAUAAAGGAUUUGUUGAAUGAAUGAGAAGUCAGUUAUUAUUUUAAAAUUUUAGGCCUAAAUAUCUAAAAUGUAGUGAUACUAUAAUAAAUCAAGAACCUCCUUAGAGGGUAAUCUUUAUGAAAAAGGGGACUACGUCAUCUUUAUUUGCCAAUGAAUUCCUAGUGACUAGCGUGGUGCCUGGUGGCUGGUGGUCAUUCGGCCAAUAUUUGUUGAAAACAUGAAUGGAUUAAUUCAGGAGAAUAAAUGAAAAAAUAGUUUAGGACAAAAUUAAUUUUUGAGAGCAUGAAGAGAUAAUCAGCAGACCACUAGAAAUACAGACUGAAAGUUAGGAGAUUGUUAAACUGAAGUGAUCUAACAUCUAAGCGUAUUAGAAGCAUCAAUCUAACAUUAGAGGUUUUAAAAACAUACUUAGCACUGCGGAUUUAAAAAAAAAUAAGAUACUGUUUUCAUUUUCAAGAUACUAAAUCCAUACUUAUAUUGCUUUUCUAGAUGAAAGUGAUAAUUUGAUGAGAUUUUCAAAAAAGGUGAGCACCAGAAAAUAUUAGCAGAACAAACAGAUGUCAGAAUGGAGAAGGUUAAGAAAUGUGUGGGAAACUGAAGGCAUGAAAUAUAAGUCACCCUUUGAAGAAAUUUGGAAAUGAAUGCAAAAAUGGGAAAUAGGACAAUUAAUUUAAGAAUCAAAGGAAGGUUAUUGCCAUUUGGGAUAAACAAAACUAAUUUUUUUUUCCAGUAUAAAAGGAAUUAGGUACAGAAAGAUUUGGCAAUCGCCUUCCUUUUUGCUACUUCUAUGUUCUUUACAUGUUUCCUUUGUUGCCCAAAUCAUAACACAGUAUAAUUAGGUCUGUAUUUCUGUGUCCCUUUCUUGACUCCUCCUUGACUAUCUCAUUCUCUUUUGUAGUCCUCGCAUCUGGCACUUAUGAGGCAUUCAAUAGUUUGUUAAGCCUGAACUGAAAACUCAAAAUGAGAGAGGAUAAUUGAAGGAACACAAUCCUGAAAGAGCUGGUAUAAAAGAAGUUGUCAAUUAUGGUGCUGGUUUUUCUCUACAAGCUCACAGACUUCUGAGAAGGAAGUCAGGGACCCCGAAUGGAGGGACCAGCUGAAGCUGUGGCAGAAGAACAUAAAUUGUGAAGAUUUCAUGGACAUUUAUUAGUUCGCAAAAUCAAAACUCUUAUAAUUUCUUAUGACGGUCUUUAAUCUCUUAAUCCUGUUAUCUUCAUAAACUGAGGAUAUAUGUCACCUCAGGACCCUGUGAUGAUUGCGUUAACUGUACAAAUUGUUUGUAAAGCAUGUGUGUUUGAACAAUAUGAAAUCUGAUUGUAAAACAUGGGUGUUUGAACAAUAUGAAAUCAGUGCACCCUGAAAAAAGAACAGAAUAACAGCGAUCUUCAGGGAACAAGGGAAGAUAACCAUAAGGUCUGACUGCCUGCGGGGCCAGGCAGAACAGAGUCGUAUUUUUCUUCUUGCAGAAAGCGAAUAAGAGAAAUAUCACUGAAUUCUUUUCCCAGCAAGGAAUAACCCUGGGGAAGGAAUGCAUUCCCAGGGGUAGGCCUAUAGACGACCACUCUGGGAGUGUCUGUCUUAUGCAGUUGAGAGAAGGGAUGAAAUACGCCCUGGUCUCCUGCAGUGCCCUCAGGCUUACUAAGAUUGGAAAAUUCCAGCCUGGUGAAUUCUAAUCAGACAGGUUGUCUGCUCUUGAACCCUGUUUCCUGUUAAGAUGUUUAUCAAGACAAUGCAUGCCCAGCAGGACAUGGACCCUCAUCAGUAAUUCUAAUUUCGCCCUUGCCUUGUGAUGUUGCUCUGCCCUUGUGAUCUCUUAUUGCCCUUUGAAGCAUGUAAUCUCUGUGACCUACUCCUUAUUCGUACACCCCUCCCCUUUUAAAAUCCCUAAUAAAAACUUGCUGGUUUUGCGGCUCAGGUGGGCAUCACGGAAGCUGCUGAUAUGUGAUGUCGCCCCCAGAGGCCCAGCUGUAAAAUUUCUCUCUUUGUACUCUUCCUCUUUAUUUCUCAGACUGGCCAACACUUAGGGAAAAUAGAAAAGAACCUACGUUGAAAUAUUGGGGGCUGGUUCCCCCAAUAUUAUUAUUCACAUGCAUAUUUUAUACUUUGAUGACAAAUGUGAAUAUUCAUAAACUCAGUAUACUAUUUUUUAAACUUUUUAUAAUGAUAUGCUUUGGGUGUGUCCCCACCCAUCUCAUCUUGAAUUGUAGCUCCCAUAAUUCCCAUGUGCCAUGGGAGGGACCUGGUGGGAGUUAACUGAAUCAUGCGGGUAGGUCUUCC